CAGAUCUCAAUGAUGCUCUCAGUAGCCACGAUGGUCGUCAUGGUAACGCUGGCGUCUCAGUGCUGCGCCGCGCCACAGCGGCGAAACUGGACGCCUCAGGCCAUCUUGUACCUGAGAGGCAGACAGGGACGCCGCUCGUUGGAGAGGGACGACACUCACUCGGGUAAAACAAGUCAUAUUUACCAGCUUUUACUACUGUGCCAGGUCUCCUUGGUAACGUGUUGCUAGGCAGAUUUGAAAGAAGUGAUGCUACUCACUGGUUGAAGGAUUGCUCUGUACUGUCACCACACUGCCUUCUGCCCUCCAUCCCGGAAAUAUUUUCU